CAAAAUAAUAAAAAAUACUCCGAAAAAAGGCUGGAAAAAAUACUGGAAAAAGACUACAAAUAGACCGAAAAGGAGGAAAAAAGUGAAUUGACAUUUUUCUCAUAACUUAAUAGUAGUAGUUUUGGUACAAUUGAAAUAUGUACUAAAGCUGCCAUAAUGUCUGCGCCGUUUGCCUUACCCGGUGCGACGCGACGGCCGGCUUGCUUUCUCAACCUUUUCUACCGCUCGCUAUUUGGCCAAUAGUUUAUCUUUUUCAGUUUUUUUUUUCAUAAAUGUCGCUUAACUGCGGUCGGGACAGACAGAAAGAAUGCUUGCGAUGACAUAAGAGACUAGCCAACGUGAAUGGCGAAUGAGCAGCAGAGUGGGAGAGGGUGUAGUUUGGUGGGUAAGUGAGUGAACGGAAGACAAAAGAGGCAAUAAGAGAGUGAACAAUCAACUGGGAGCAUAAUGGCGGAGCUGGAUGCUGAAAAUAAUAGAAAAUUUUUGUGAAUGGAAAUACAAUGAUGAGGCGGCUGCUGCUUAAAAUAACUAAGAUAACUAAAAAAAACUGAACUAACUGCUGUGGCGGCUGCUAGAGUUUGUUGAUUGGCGUUAAUCCUAAAUGACGUUGACGUUAAGAAAUGUUUACUCGCAUUUAGUUGAUGUAAAAGCAGGGGAUACUAAGUUCAGCGCGGUCAUUCUGCACCUCAUCGCACCUGUAGAUUUUUCGUCCUUUCGAACGACGUGAGCUAGAUAGGACCUGCAUAUCACUCCUUAGAGGCAUGAGACCGGACCAACGUCAAUCUUUCACAAAGCGGACCAGUUUGACCUAUUUUUAUGCGGGUGUUCAGGGGAAAUCCCCAGCUAUAGUAUCAUUUGUUGUCAAUGAUCGUACAAGUCGGUAAGGUGUACCUACGAGCGGUCAGCGACGCUUUACAAAUAAGCAAUUUUUCUGGAGUGAAGGGUUCGGAAGAUAGCCAAACUUGAGAUCGUGGACAAAGCAGAUCUGUUUCAUUGCCUACGGACCCAAGUAUGGCGUUCUACUGGUUCUUCCUCUCCAAUGGUAAUUGAAACCUUGUUUCGGAUGCACAGUUGGCUCGGUCUUGUUUUGAGUGCUUCACACUAUAGCACCUUAAGGUUCUCUUCACUAAAGCGAUAGUAGAUAAUCUCUAGCCUUCAGCUCCACCAUGGAGAGACAUCUGAGGUAUGAAGACCGUUCAUAUUAUGCGCCAAACAUUCUAAGGAGGUUUCCAGAAAUUUGCUGCUUCAUCUUGGACCAGACUGAGCCAAACUCGAAACCAAGAGCUAUACAUUGAUAUGAACCAGUACCACAGGUCAAUCCAAUAGCUGCAAAAGUAAGUAACUGUAAGGCUCAGGGAGUUGGUCGGCUCAAUUAUGACAUUUCGAGAUCUCAAAUUGAAAGCAUAGAAAAUACAGCUUGUGCAGGAACUGAAGUUGCUCCACCUUCCCAAAUGACAUCGCCUUGCGCUAUGGGCUCUUGAAAAGUUCCUAGAAGAUCCGGCGUUUUCGAAGCAAAUUUUAUUGAAUUAUUAGGCCCAUUUUUAGCUGAACGGAAAAAACAACAGUUUGGAGUGGCUUAUGAGCCGCUGGAAUCAUCGGCUCAUAUUUCUUCAAUGAUUCCGGUGAGGACAUAACCUAUAAACGUCAAUGGCGACCGCGACAUGAUAACCCACUGUUUGAUGCCUUAAAUUGAAGAUCGUGAUAUCGGCGACAUUUGGUUUGAAGAAGGCGGCGCCACUCCCCACACAUCGCACCAAUCAAUGGAUUUAUUAAGAUAACCCUACGAUGAGAUGAGAAUUUUCUUAUUUCUAUAAAGAUAUGUAAAGUCCAAAGUUUAAGCGGACAACACCGCUUUGAUUCAGGCUUUGGAGCAGGAUAUCACGCUUAACAUUCGCCAGUUACCAACCGCAAAGCUCGAAGGAGUCAUCGAAGAUUUCGCCUGAGCUCCUCCUCCAAUUUGUUGUUUACCGUCUGGAUUUUCUCAAACCAAAAACUUAUAUUAAGCUGCCUCCGAGUGCCUGAUGGAUAUGUAUGAGAAGGUUUUUUAUUUCAUUUUAGAAACACAGUCUGGUAUGAUAUCCCCCCGAAGGAUGACUGCAAUUAGUAAGUUUAAUUUUUCUUGUCGAAUCAGGACAUGAAAUUCUUUUUUCUUA